GCAGGCAUGGCCGAGUGGUUUAAGGCGAUGGUUUUAAGUUAGAUUUCUCAUUCACUUUUCACCAUUAUCGAGAGAUGCGUGGGUUCGAACCCCACUGCCUGCA